rnacentral:rRNA from 1 species
AGCGAACGCUGGCGGCAGGCUUAACACAUGCCAGUCGAGCGGGCACUUCGGUGUCAGCGGCAGACGGGUGAGUAACACGUGGGAACGUACCCUUCGGUUCGGAAUAACGCUGGGAAACUAGCGCUAAUACCGGAUACGCCCUUUUGGGGAAAGGUUUACUGCCGAAGGAUCGGCCCGCGUCUGAUUAGCUAGUUGGUGGGGUAAUGGCCUACCAAGGCGACGAUCAGUAGCUGGUCUGAGAGGAUGAUCAGCCACACUGGGACUGAGACACGGCCCAGACUCCUACGGGAGGCGGCAGUGGGGAAUAUUGGACAAUGGGCGCAAGCCUGAUCCAGCCAUGCCGCGUGAGUGAUGAAGGCCUUAGGGUUGUAAAGCUCUUUUGUCCGGGACGAUAAUGACGGUACCGGAAGAAUAAGCCCCGGCUAACUUCGUG